rnacentral:rRNA from 1 species
ACGGGUGAGUAACACGUGGGUAACCUGCCCAUCAGAAGGGGAUAACACUUGGAAACAGGUGCUAAUACCGUAUAACACUAUUUUCCGCAUGGAAGAAAGUUGAAAGGCGCUUUUGCGUCACUGAUGGAUGGACCCGCGGUGCAUUAGCUAGUUGGUGAGGUAACGGCUCACCAAGGCCACGAUGCAUAGCCGACCUGAGAGGGUGAUCGGCCACACUGGGACUGAGACACGGCCCAGACUCCUACGGGAGGCAGCAGUAGGGAAUCUUCGGCAAUGGACGAAAGUCUGACCGAGCAACGCCGCGUGAGUGAAGAAGGUUUUCGGAUCGUAAAACUCUGUUGUUAGAGAAGAACAAGGAUGAGAGUAGAACGUUCAUCCCUUGACGGUAUCUAACCAGAAAGCCACGGCUAACUACGUGCCAGCAGCCGCGGUAAUACGUAGGUGGCAAGCGUUGUCCGGAUUUAUUGGGCGUAAAGCGAGCGCAGGCGGUUUCUUAAGUCUGAUGUGAAAGCCCCCGGCUCAACCGGGGAGGGUCAUUGGAAACUGGGAGACUUGAGUGCAGAAGAGGAGAGUGGAAUUCCAUGUGUAGCGGUGAAAUGCGUAGAUAUAUGGAGGAACACCAGUGGCGAAGGCGGCUCUCUGGUCUGUAACUGACGCUGAGGCUCGAAAGCGUGGGGAGCGAACAGGACUAGAUACCCUGGUAGUCCACGCCGUAAACGAUGAGUGCUAAGUGUUGGAGGGUUUCCGCCCUUCAGUGCUGCAGCAAACG